CCAGAGCCCUUCAUGUGACAAAAUUUCAAACAAUUGGUGUUAAAUUAAAUAUUACUUGUGACUUAACUACUGUCCUUUAAAUGUUGAACAUGACAGUUUUAUAGUGAAUUCAACAUCUCGAAACUGUUGACUGUUUGAUUUUUUCCUGUCUGAAUAUCUCUACAGAAAACAGAAUGUUAGUACAACCUACAAUAAAGAGACAGUUAACUACAAUUAGUUAAAUGUCAUAGUGGACAGGCAACUCAGCCAGAUCACAGUGUGUGACAGAAGCAAAAAAAGAAUGAAUGAUUGUUCAAUUUAGGUAUAUUCUGUUUAGUUCAAUUCCUUGUUAAUUUAAGUUUAAUAUAAGUCUCCAAAAAGCCCAGCCAGCAUGACCUCAUGUAUACCAGCCACCUAGAAACAUACUUAUUUUUACUUGAUUGAUGCUAGUAAAGAUUAAUUUGCAUAUCGGAUAAAGAUGCAUCAAUGUAUUUACCCAUAUAUUAGCAAAGGUCAUUAUCUGCACUUGGGUCAGAGAAGACUGCAGGAUGGAAAGAGUUUUAGGAAUACAAUAAAUGCUAUCCUUCUUGCUGGUUUGGAGUCUUACCUGCAGUGGUGCUGGCAGCUUUGGUACCUUAUUGAAUCUCUAUCACUGGUUUUUGCUGUUCUUGAGCUGGGAGGGUAAAUGCAGCAGAAUGACCAGUCUGAAUUCCAGCAACAAACAAAAAUAGCUGGCAAUGGAGUAAAGCUAAAAUGGCAGAAUCUUUGUUGCAAUAGAGACCUUGCAAACAAUAGCUAAAGUUAUUUAAAACUAGUAACAGCUAAUACUAUAACGUAAGGGUAUAUAGAAUACUGUGUUAAUAAAUUUUUUCCAGAGAAAACAAAACUAGUCACCAUGCCAACUGCAAAAUGCGUACACUGAAUAUCUUUAGAAAGGCAAUUAAGUGGCCAUUUAUGAGGACAGGCUAAACCUGGGAAUAAAAUUAGAAGACAGAAGAGGCUGUGUGGCUGAACUCCCUGCACCCAGAGCUGCAUGGCAGGGCUUGGGGUGUGAGGCCCCAAGCCAAGAGGACAGCAUGGGGCCAUCCUGAUUUCCUGUGGUGCCAG